ensembl:lincRNA Gm43536 predicted gene 43536
ACCCCAAGCCCAAUGUCAGGGAGUUUCACAGGAUUCAGAGGAAAGAAGAAAAUGUCACUGUCAUGCUUUGAAGUAUUUUCUGCAUCAAGUCUUACUGUGUAUGGGAAUUGUCUUUCCUCAAGUUCCCAGAUAGCUACUUCCUGGGAGAACAGAGGCCACAGUCUACCUUUGCAGAUCCCAGCCCUUCCCCCAGGCCAGGAAGGAUCUUACAAAAGCCUCUUGUGAACCGACACGGACACCUCAGAGCCCUAAUGGGAGAAGAAGGGCAAGUGUGGGCAAGGCCCCUGGCUCUCCUGCCUGCAGCCAUUUCUCAAGCAACCUGGUUCUCAGGGAGACUUCAAGAACCAGUGUCUGGUCUUUGCUUGAAAAGGAAACCAGUCAUUCAAGGGUAAAUCAUAAGUACUAAAUGAAAAGCUCUGUGACUGUACACUAAAGACUUCAUCACAAGAGGAGAAAUCUCUUGUCUACACACUUGUGUCAGCCUAGGAGUCCGGGACAGAAGGCACGUGGGACUGGCCAGACUUGAAAGUGACAUUCUGAAUGCAAGGCAAGGACAGAAGGAACUGGUUCCUUCACAGUCCCCCGGAACCACGUGGUGGCCAGGUUGACAGUACCAGAGAAGAGCACCUUCCCACUUGGGUAAACUG